UUUAAAGUCUAAUCUGCCCUAUGAGGAUUUAAAUGGCCGCGGUAUUUUGACCGUGCAAAGGUAGCAUAAUAAUUAGUUUUUUAAUUGAAAGCUGGAAUGAAUGAUUGGACGAGAAAAUAACUGUCUCAGCCUAAUUUUUAGAAUUUUAUUUUUAAGUAAAAAAGCUUAAAUUUUUUUAAAAGACGAGAAGACCCUAUAGAGUUUGAUAUUAGUUGAAAUAUAAAUUUUUUAGGUUUUUUAUAUUUGUAUUUGGGCUUAUAUUUUGUUGGGGUGAUGGAAAAAUUUAAUAAACUUUUUUUAAAAUAAAAUAAACAUUUAUUUAUGAUUGUUUGAUCCAAUUUGUUUGAUUAUAAGAUUAAAUUACCUUAGGGAUAACAGCGUAAUUUUUUUUUAGAGUUCUUAUCGAAAGAAAAGAUUGCGACCUCGAUGUUGGAUUAAAAUUAAUUUUUGGUGUAGAAGCUAAAAAAUUGGGUCUGUUCGACCUUUAAAAUUUUACA
rnacentral:rRNA from 1 species